GGGCAGGGUGGUCCGCCUGUCGAGCGACGACCAGCCGAUGUAAGUCAGGGCAAACCUCCUGUCGGACUUCAGAGGGCUGUUCUCCCUCUCCUCCUUGCUCUCCAUGUCGCCCCGUCAGACUUUCGGCCAAACUCGGUGACAGCGAUGUGGGACUAAAGACUACUUUCAAAAAUGAUGCCGAGCCGAUCUGUACCAUUUGCAACCAAGGGUCCCGACUGAGAUCCUUUCUUCCACAACGCCUUGGAGGCGGAGCGGCUGUGCGCGUUUAUGACCCGCCCAACCAUCCCAUGUGCUGGAGGAGUGGGCAGGGCAGAGCCGCCGUGCGAAACGUGACAGCACGAAGCUCCACCUUUCUCAACAGUGCAUAAUAGCAGUGGUGGAAUACAUUUACUCAAGUGCUGUAUAUACUUAAGUACAACUUUGAUGCACUUACUUUAUUUGAGCCACUUUCUACUUCUACUCCACUAUAUUUCAGAGAUUUAUUUUGUACUUUUUCACUCUACAUUAGUCUGACAGUAGGACGCAAAACACAUGUAGUUUAUAAAAUAAAGUUUAUUAUAAAUUAAUCUACCCAACAAUAUAGGCCUACAAGUACAGCUGAUAUGAUUAGACAAACACUGGAAAUUAAAUAAUUAAAAUACUGGAAAGCCUCUUGUAUGGUAGUGGGGAAAGUGUUUGCAGCCUCCACUGCACUAGUCCUCCAGGUGCAUACCUUUGUUUGCUGUCAUCCUACCUACCAAAAGCCUUCACCUGGUAAAAUGUGCAGAAGUGGUGAAGACUAGACCUGGCCAAUUACUAUGUUGGCAGCACAAUAUGCAUUACUUCACUAAGGCAGUUCACACCUGACUGUUUACAAGCAGGCUGUGCUGAUUCAUAGUCUUGGAAAGCUGUAAUCCUAUCUGAUAUGCUUUAUGCACUACAGAAGUUCCCAUCUACUGAAUGCUAUAAUUCCAAGCACUCCUCCUAUCCCCAAAAUAGAAACUGUGCCAUAUAUAACCUCAUCACCGAGGCAGUAGCCACUGGAGUUCUGCAGCCUACUAAACCCCACAGUACUGGUGAGGACUUAAAUGUGUAUACCUCAAGGACGUAUACAUAUUUCAACUGUGGACCUUUAUAUAACACAGGGCAGGCCAUCAAAUAGACCCCCACUUGAUAAAAUUGUGUGGUUGUAUUUCUGUUCUUUGAGUGUUGACAUUGUAUUGAAUUGACUGUCUACAAUGGAUUGUGGCGAAAAUGGAAAUUAAUGAGA